rnacentral:rRNA from 1 species
ACAGGUCUUCGGGUGCCGACGAGUGGCGAACGGGUGAGUAAUGCAUCGGAACGUACCUUUCAGUGGGGGAUAACGUAGCGAAAGUUACGCUAAUACCGCAUAUUCUGUGAGCAGGAAAGCAGGGGAUCGCAAGACCUUGCGCUGAUUGAGCGGCCGAUGUCAGAUUAGCUAGUUGGUGAGGUAAAGGCUCACCAAGGCGACGAUCUGUAGCGGGUCUGAGAGGAUGAUCCGCCACACUGGAACUGAGACACGGUCCAGACUCCUACGGGAGGCAGCAGUGGGGAAUUUUGGACAAUGGGGGCAACCCUGAUCCAGCCAUGCCGCGUGAGUGAAGAAGGCCUUCGGGUUGUAAAGCUCUUUCGGCCGGGAAGAAAUCGCAUGGGUUAAUACCCUGUGCGGAUGACGGUACCGGCAUAAGAAGCACCGGCUAACUACGUG